GCCUUGGUCGCAUAGUGGUCGAUUGCGCCUGACUUGUAAUCAGGUUCCGAAAGGACACGUGGGUUCGAAUCCCACCUGAGGCU
rnacentral:tRNA from 1 species